rfam:Colletotrichum sublineola strain TX430BB Scaffolds0186.1, whole genome shotgun sequence.
ACAUACGACCACACCCACCGGAGAAUUCGGGAUCCCGUCCGCUCUCCCAUAGACAAGCCGGUGAGGGCCAAACUAGUAGUUGGGUCGGUGACGACCAGCGAAUCCUUGGUGUUGUAUGUC